rnacentral:lncRNA from 1 species
ACUUCACAUAAAUAUGCAUUGCGCAGUAGAGGUACAGUACCGGACGAACAAUGGAUACUUCCUACAUCCACUCAUUCUAGAAUACCAAAAUAUACGAACUAGCAAACAACAAUUAAUUCUAGUAAUACAUACAUACAUGUAUAUUGAAUUUAGAUAGAAUGGUAUAAUUCAAAGAAACAACUACAAAUAAUUUAUUUACAGAACAGGAAGACUAACGACAAUGAAUGGAAGUUUAAUUAUUCUAUCAACGUUAAUGGUACUUAAUGUUAUGAGCGACAAUACAAUGUUAAAAAAGGUGUCAUCUUUGCGAAUCAAGGAAAUUUUCUCCUCACGACCAGUCGUUGGAAUCUUGUCGUUGACAUCAGAUUCGAGGAAUACGAUGUUCAACUCCUCCGACUGCGAAAACAUCUUAAUAAAUUGCGCCGAAUAAUCAAAGGACCUCGAAUAAGAUCAACAGGAUUAACGAGCAUACUUUGGAACUAUACCGCUACUGAAGUGGGAAACUUAAAUCGAAUUCUAAAGGACCAGUACAAUGAAUAUCAAGAUUUAAAGGCAUUAGUUACAUUAGAUAAGACAGAGAAAAACGAAAGAGCUUUAAUUGACGUAGGAGGGGAUAUAUUAAAAUUCCUAUUUGGAACAGCCACGACUAAGGAAGUGGAAGAUCUUAACGCGAGAUCGGAA